UACGUAGGGGGCAAGCGUUGUCCGGAUUUAUUGGGCGUAAAGAGCGUGUAGGCGGUCAGGUAGGUCCGUUGUGGAAAACUCGAGGCCUCAACCUCGAGACGCCGAUGGAAACCAUCUGACUAGAGUCCGGAAGAGGAGAGUGGAAUUCCUGGUGUAGCGGUGAAAUGCGCAGAUAUCAGGAGGAACACCGGUGGCGAAGGCGGGUCUCUGGCCGAUACUGACACUGAGGAGCGAA
rnacentral:rRNA from 1 species